AGUGAACGCUGGCGGUAGGCCUAACACAUGCAAGUCGAACGGCAGCACAGUAAGAGCUUGCUCUUACGGGUGGCGAGUGGCGGACGGGUGAGGAAUACAUCGGAAUCUACUUUUUCGUGGGGGAUAACGUAGGGAAACUUACGCUAAUACCGCAUACGACCUACGGGUGAAAGCAGGGGAUCUUCUGACCUUGCGCGAUGGAGUGAGCCGAUGUCGGAUUAGCUAGUUGGCGGGGUAAAGGCCCACCAAGGCGACGAUCCGUAGCUGGUCUGAGAGGAUGAUCAGACACACUGUAACUGAGACACGGUCCAGACUCCUACGGGAGGACGCAGUGGGGAAUAUUGGACAAUGGGCGCAAGCCUGAUCCAGCCAUACCGCGUGGGUGAAGAAGGCCUUCGGGUUGUAAAGCCCUUUUGUUGGGAAAGAAAAGCAGCAGGUUAACACCCCGCUGUUCUGACGGUACCCAAAGAAUAAGCACCGGCUAACUUCGUG
rnacentral:rRNA from 1 species